CUGCUCGCUUCGGCAGCACAGGUACUCAAAUUGUGAACGGCACGGAGAAGGUUAGCACCACCCUGGCGCCAGGAUGACAUGCAAACUCGUCACAGGGAAAGCUGUGUC
rnacentral:snRNA from 1 species